UACGAAGGGGGCUAGCGUUGCUCGGAAUUACUGGGCGUAAAGCGCGUGUAGGCGGUUGUUCAAGUCAGGUGUGAAAGCCUUGAGCUCAACUCAAGAAAUGCACUUGAUACUGGAUGACUAGAGGACCGGAGAGGAUAGUGGAAUUCCCAGUGUAGUGGUGAAAUACGUAGAGAUUGGGAAGAACACCAGUGGCGAAGGCGGCUAUCUGGACGGUUUCUGACGCUGAGACGCGAAAGCGUGGGGAGCGAACAGG
rnacentral:rRNA from 1 species